UGGUUUUUCGGGAUUCCCGGUCGGUGUGUGCUAAAGUGUGUAAAGAAGCACGUAAAUGAAAAUAAAGUCAAGCAUACAUGCACACAAUAAGAAAGAAAACAACUGAUCGCUCAACGCUGAUCGCGCCUAGCGAUGCGUGCUUCGAGGCGAAACUCGCUCGAGGCACAAUAUUGAUGGAGGGGUAAGGAACCCUUAAGAAUGUAUGGUCAAAGCAGCGAAACCCGACACAGUUAGUGCUAAGUCGAACGUGACCCGAGUUGAGGAUGACUCGAACGGGACACGGUUCCGAGAAAGUGUAAGCAACCCUCAA
rnacentral:lncRNA from 1 species